AACGCGAAGAACCUUACCUGGCCUUGACAUCUACGGAACCUCGCAGAGAUGCGGGGGUGCCUUCGGGAACCGUAAGACAGGUGCUGCAUGGCUGUCGUCAGCUCGUGUCGUGAGAUGUUGGGUUAAGUCCCGCAACGAGCGCAACCCUUGUCCUUAGUUGCCAUCAUUCAGUUGGGAACUCUAAGGAGACCGCCGGUGACAAACCGGAGGAAGGUGGGGAUGACGUCAAGUCAUCAUGGCCUUUAUGGCCAGGGCUACACACGUGCUACAAUGGCAGGUACAGAGGGAAGCCAACGCGCGAGCGGGAGCCAAUCCCAGAAAGCCUGUCGUAGUCCGGAUCGGAGUCUGCAACUCGACUCCGUGAAGUCGGAAUCGCUAGUAAUCGCAGAUCAGCAUUGCUGCGGUGAAUACGUUCCCGGGCCUUGUA
rnacentral:rRNA from 1 species